AAAGUAAACAUUUGACAGCGGCUGCUUACAAGGAGGUUGGUUGUUCACAGCUACGACAAAGGAAAUAGUUUAUUUUGGUGGUCUUAUUGGUACAACGCAUUUUAAAACAAAAAUUGAAACGGAUUUACAUUAUUUUCGUCAUUUCCAAGUCGCUUAGUGCGGUUAGAAGGCCAUAAAUUUAUGUUAUAACGGAGAAUUGCCUUUGUCGCAGCUUCAGAUCAUGAUCAUUGUUCGUCGCGGAAACAGUUGCUCUAGUUCGGUACCGCUACGUCCGCAAAAUAGUGUCAGGCAAAUUCUUUCCGAGUGUCCAUAAGGAUCCUGUUGUGCAUUUGAUAAACUGUUGAGUUUAAACAGAUCGUUUCUAUUCAGUGUGGAAUAUUGAUAACGCCGUGAAAAUGUCGAUGAAAGACAGCCCGAGUAGGGAAUCAACUGCAUCCAGUGCCCGGAUAAGCCUUUUUACGGACGAUUCCAUAACCCGGGAUCUAAGUAUGGCUAGUAUAACCUCGUCUGGAAGCCAGGAGGAGUACUUUCGAUGUCGUGAUCAUUCGGAAAGCAUCCUCAAAAGGAUGCACAACUACUUCGAGAGCGAACAGCUAUGCGAUGUAGUCCUGAUCGCAGGGAUCGACGGGAAACGAAUUCCUGCACACCGUCUAGUUCUAUCAGCCUCUAGUGCCUACUUUUCAGCGAUGUUUACAGGAUCUUUGAGAGAAACAAAAGAAAAUGAAGUCACACUCGGUGAAGUUCAUGGUGAUGCACUUCAGAUUUUAGUACAAUAUUGCUACACAGGUUAUAUAGAAUUGAGAGAAGACACAGUUGAGACACUCCUUGCAACUGCAUGUCUGCUCCAAUUGAAUGCCGUUGUAACAGCUUGCUGCAAUUUCCUAGCGCGUCAAUUACAUCCGUCCAAUUGUCUUGGCUUUGCAUUUUUCGCCGAACAGCAAAGCUGCGGUACCUUAUUGAAAUUAGCUAGUUCAUACACUUGUCAACAUUUUAUGCAGGUUUGCAAGAACCAAGAAUUCUUUCAAUUAAACUCAGAACAAAUCGGCAAACUACUGUCGAGCGAUGAACUAAAUGUACCUUCCGAACAAGAUGUCUUCCAUGCAUUAACGGCAUGGGUCCAACACGACCCUGCUAAUCGGGAAAAAGAUAUUCCUAAAUUAUUGGCUCUCGUUAGAUUGCCAUUGCUUCCACCUUCGUUUAUAGCGGAUCAUGUAGAGUCACUUUGUGGAACAUCCGAGUGUCACCAAUUAAUAAUGGAGGCUUUGAAAUGGCACUUGUUGCCGGAAAGACGAUCACAAAUUUCUACAGAACGAACUCGGCCACGUAAGUCCACAAUGGGACGACUUUUGGCAGUUGGAGGCAUGGACGCUCAUAAGGGAGCCAUCAGUAUUGAAACAUAUUGUCCGCGACUCGAUAAAUGGAGUGCUUUGAAGAAUAUGACAGCCAGACGGCUCCAAUUUGGGGUUGCGGUUAUGGAGGAUAAAUUAAUAAUAGUUGGAGGUCGAGAUGGAUUAAAGACAUUAAAUUCGGUUGAAAGUCUGGACAUGAAUACGAUGAUAUGGAGCCAAUUAAACCCAAUGGGGACACAUAGACAUGGGUUAGGUGUAGCUAUAUUGGAAGGUCCUCUAUAUGCUGUUGGAGGGCACGAUGGUUGGAGCUAUUUGAACACUGUUGAACGUUGGGAUCCGCUUGCAAGAACUUGGAGUUAUGUAGCUUCAAUGUCGGCAAUGAGAUCAACUGCAGGGGUGGCCGUGCUUGGCGGUAGAUUGUACGUGGUCGGUGGCCGUGAUGGAUCAGUUUGUCACAGAUCUGUAGAAUGUUAUGAUCCACAUACUAACAAGUGGACAUUAAGAGCGCCGAUGAACAAACGUCGCGGUGGAGUUGGUGUAACUGUGGCAAACGGAUAUCUAUACGCAUUAGGAGGUCACGACUGUCCUGCAAGCAAUCCAUCUGUCUGUCGAACAGACACAGUUGAACGAUACGAUCCUGGAACAGAUACGUGGACAUUGAUUGCAUCACUAUCUAUCGGUCGGGAUGCAAUUGGUGUAGCACUUUUAGGUGAUCGUCUUAUAGCUGCUGGUGGUUUCGACGGGAACCACUAUUUAAAGACUGUAGAGGAGUACGAUCCGGAAACGAACGAAUGGUCUCUGAUAGCGCCAUUGAAUUUCAGCCGAGCUGGAGCUUGCCUGGUCACGAUUCCAAAUGUUUUGCCGUCGGCACCAGCUUGUUCAGUGGUUUAGUGAUAUUUCUAAUUUUUUAUUUUUACAGUUUAUUUUUCUUCCAAUCAUUCCAAUUCAUACUGUUAUAUUUUCCGCUUCUAUACUAAUCUCGCAUGAGUUUUGAUUGUGUCGUUUUGUUUUGGAAAUUUCAUUAUAUUGUACUGAAUGUAGAUGAAAAACGAGAGUUCUUCACACAGAAAAUUAUAUUUUAGAAUAUUUUGAAUUCCAUAACGAAAAGUGAGUUUUUAAAAUAGCUAACAGCAGCACGGUCGAGCGCUAAUUCGUGUUGAAAAGAUGGAAACCCGUUCGACUAAAUGCCUACUGCUACAGGCGUGAUAUCGACAUGGCUGACUAUGUGGUCUAACGUAAAACACAACAGAUAGUUAAAUAACUCGCAUAUCAAUUUCAUUUACAAUCACAGUGAUAUCACAAAAACUGAGUAGCAAUCUAAGUAGUAAACUAACAAUAAUCCAUUUUACUGAGAGAUUAGGUCCUAAGAACUAACUAUUUGAUUUACAGGUACACAAAUACGCAUUUUUUAUAGUGAUUCAAUCAAUGUUUUACAUGAACGAGUAUUGUCAACUGCGAUAUAUUCUGAUAUUUUUCACAAUUAUUUUUUCCUGAUUAGGGAAUAUAUGGAUAUUUGGUUUUAUUGAUAUACAAUAUGUUAUGUAUCUUCGGUUAGAGACUGCUCUAGGUCCUAAUAAAUAUAUAGGUUUAUUUUUAA